GGAGUUGUGGCUCAGCGGUAGAGCGCUCACCUCCACGUGUGAGGCCCUGGGUUUGAUACUCAGCACCA
rnacentral:tRNA from 1 species